GUCGAACGAUGAUUAUCUAGCUUGCUAGAUAUGAUUAGUGGCGGACGGGUGAGUAACAUUUAGGAAUCUGCCUAGUAGUGGGGGAUAGCUCGGGGAAACUCGAAUUAAUACCGCAUACGACCUACGGGUGAAAGGGGGCGCAAGCUCUUGCUAUUAGAUGAGCCUAAAUCAGAUUAGCUAGUUGGUGGGGUAAAGGCCCACCAAGGCGACGAUCUGUAACUGGUCUGAGAGGAUGAUCAGUCACACCGGAACUGAGACACGGUCCGGACUCCUACGGGAGGCAGCAGUGGGGAAUAUUGGACAAUGGGGGCAACCCUGAUCCAGCCAUGCCGCGUGUGUGAAGAAGGCCUUUUGGUUGUAAAGCACUUUAAGCAGGGAGGAGAGGCUAAUGGUUAAUACCCAUUAGAUUAGACGUUACCUGCAGAAUAAGCACCGGCUAACUCUGUGCCAGCAGCCGCGGUAAUACAGAGGGUGCGAGCGUUAAUCGGAAUUACUGGGCGUAAAGCGAGUGUAGGUGGCUCAUUAAGUCACAUGUGAAAUCCCCGGGCUUAACCUGGGAACUGCAUGUGAUACUGGUGGUGCUAGAAUAUGUGAGAGGGAAGUAGAAUUCCAGGUGUAGCGGUGAAAUGCGUAGAGAUCUGGAGGAAUACCGAUGGCGAAGGCAGCUUCCUGGCAUAAUAUUGACACUGAGAUUCGAAAGCGUGGGUAGCAAACAGGAUUAGAUACCCUGGUAGUCCACGCCGUAAACGAUGUCUACUAGCCGUUGGGGUCCUUGAGACUUUAGUGGCGCAGUUAACGCGAUAAGUAGACCGCCUGGGGAGUACGGCCGCAAGGUUAAAA
rnacentral:rRNA from 1 species